GAGGAGGAAGGAAUGGGCAACGGUAGGUCAGCAUGCCCCGAAUUAUCCGGGCUACACGCGGGCUACAAUGGUCAGGACAAUGGGUAUCAACACCGAAAGGUGAAGGCAAUCUCCUAAACCUGUCCUUAAGUUCGGAUUGUGGGCUGCAACUCGCCCACAUGAAGCUGGAAUCUGUAGUAAUCGCGUCUCAACAUGGCGCGGUGAAUAUGUCCCUGCUCCUU
rnacentral:rRNA from 1 species